rnacentral:rRNA from 1 species
AUUGAACGCUGGCGGCAGGCCUAACACAUGCAAGUCGAACGAGCGGCGGACGGGUGAGUAAUGUAUGGGGAUCUGCCUGAUGGAGGGGGAUAACUACUGGAAACGGUGGCUAAUACCGCAUACCAUCAGAUGUACCCAUAUGGGAUUAGCUUGUUGGUGGGGUAACGGCUCACCAAGGCGACGAUCCCUAGCUGGUCUGAGAGGAUGACAAGCCACACUGGGACUGAGACACGGACCAGAGUCCUACGGGAGGCAGCAGUGGGGAAUAUUGCACAAUGGGCGCAAGCCUGAUGCAGCCAUGCCGCGUGUAUGAAGAAGGCCUUAGGGUUGUAAAGUACUUUCAGCGGGGAGGCGUUACCCGCAGAAGAAGCACCGGCUAACUCCGUGCCAGCAGCCGCGGUAAUAC